GACAUCAGGAGGUUAGUGCAAUGGCAUAAGCCAGCUUGACUGCGAGCGUGACGGCGCGAGCAGGUGCGAAAGCAGGUCAUAGUGAUCCGGUGGUUCUGAAUGGAAGGGCCAUCGCUCAACGGAUAAAAGGUACUCCGGGGAUAACAGGCUGAUACCGCCCAAGAGUUCAUAUCGACGGCGGUGUUUGGCACCUCGAUGUCGGCUCAUCACAUCCUGGGGCUGAAGUAGGUCCCAAGGGUAUGGCUGUUCGCCAUUUAAAGUGGUACGCGAGCUGGGUUUAGAACGUCGUGAGACAGUUCGGUCCCUAUCUGCCGUGGGCGCUGGAGAACUGAGGGGGGCUGCUCCUAGUACGAGAGGACCGGAGUGGACGCAUCACUGGUGUUCGGGUUGUCAUGCCAAUGGCACUGCCCGGUAGCUAAAUGCGGAAGAGAUAAGUGCUGAAAGCAUCUAAGCACGAAACUUGCCCCGAGAUGAGUUCUCCCUGAGACUUAGAGUCUCCUGAAGGAACGUUGAAGACGACGACGUUGAUAGGCCGGGUGUGUAAGCGCAGCGAUGCGUUGAGCUAACCGGUACUAAUGAACCGUGAGGCUUAACCUUACAACGCCGA
rnacentral:rRNA from 2 species